GAUGAACGCUAGCUACAGGCUUAACACAUGCAAGUCGAGGGGAAACGAUAUUGGAAGCUUGCUUCCGAUAGGCGUCGACCGGCGCACGGGUGAGUAACGCGUAUCCAACCUGCCCACCACUUGGGGAUAACCUUGCGAAAGUAAGGCUAAUACCCAAUGAUAUCUCAAGAAGACAUCUGAAAGGGAUUAAAGAUUCAUCGGUGAUGGAUGGGGAUGCGUCUGAUUAGCUUGUUGGCGGGGUAACGGCCCACCAAGGCGAUGAUCAGUAGGGGUUCUGAGAGGAAGGUCCCCCACAUUGGAACUGAGACACGGUCCAAACUCCUACGGGAGGCAGCAGUGAGGAAUAUUGGUCAAUGGGCGAGAGCCUGAACCUGCCAAGUAGCGUGCAGGAUGACGGCCCUAUGGGUUGUAAACUGCUUUUAUAAGGGAAUAAAGUGAGCCUCGUGAGGCUUUUUGCAUGUACCUUAUGAAUAAGGACCGGCUAAUUCCGUGCCAGCCGCCGCCGUAA
rnacentral:rRNA from 1 species